rnacentral:rRNA from 1 species
GACGAACGCUGGCGGCGUGCUUAACACAUGCAAGUCGAGCGGUAAGGCCCUUUCGGGGGUACACGAGCGGCGAACGGGUGAGUAACACGUGGGUGACCUGCCCUCAGCUCUGGGAUAAGCCUGGGAAACCGGGUCUAAUACUGGAUAUGACUCCAUGACGCAUGUUGUGGGGUGGAAAGCCUUGUGCGGCUGAGGAUGGGCCCCGCGGCCUAUCAGCUUGUUGGUGGGGUGANGGCCUACCAAGGCGACGACGGGUAGCCGGCCUGAGAGGGCGACCGGCCACACUGGGACUGAGACACGGCCCAGACUCCUACGGGAGGCAGCAGUGGGGAAUAUUGGGCAAUGGCCGAAAGGCUGACCCAGCAACGCCGCGUGAGGGAUGAAGCUCUAAGGAGUGUAAACCUC